rnacentral:rRNA from 1 species
AUUGAACGCUGGCGGAAUGCUUUACACAUGCAAGUCGAACGGCAGCACGGACUUCGGUCUGGUGGCGAGUGGCGAACGGGUGAGUAAUAUAUCGGAACGUGCCCAGUCGUGGGGGAUAACGUAGCGAAAGCUACGCUAAUACCGCAUACGAUCUACAGAUGAAAGCGGGGGAUCGCAAGACCUCGCGCGAUUGGAGCGGCCGAUAUCAGAUUAGGUAGUUGGUGAGGUAAAGGCUCACCAAGCCGACGAUCUGUAGCUGGUCUGAGAGGACGACCAGCCACACUGGGACUGAGACACGGCCCAGACUCCUACGGGAGGCAGCAGUGGGGAAUUUUGGACAAUGGACGCAAGUCUGAUCCAGCCAUUCCGCGUGCAGGACGAAGGCCUUCGGGUUGUAAACUGCUUUUGUACAGAACGAAAAGCUCUGAGUUAAUACCUCGGGGUCAUGACGGUACUGUAAGAAUAAGCACCGGCUAACUACGUGCCAGCAGCCGCUGUAA